UACGUAGGUGGCAAGCGUUGUCCGGAAUUAUUGGGCGUAAAGCGCGCGCAGGCGGUCCUUUAAGUCUGAUGUGAAAUCCCUCGGCUCAACCGAGGAACUGCGCCCGAGACUGCCUUUCUUGAGUCCCGGAGAGGAAGGUGGAAUUCCCGGUGUAGCGGUGAAAUGUGUAGAGAUCGGGAGGAACACCGGCGGCGAAGGCGGCCUUCUGGACGGUGACUGACGCUGAGGCGCGAAAGCGUGGGGAGCAAACGGG
rnacentral:rRNA from 1 species